rnacentral:rRNA from 1 species
CCUACGGGUGGCAGCAGUGAGGAAUAUUGGUCAAUGGCCGGAAGGCUGAACCAGCCAAGCCGCGUGAGGGAGGAAGGCGCAGAGCGUCGCAGACCUCUUUUGCCGGGGGACAAAAGGCCGGACGGGUCCGGUUCGGAGGAUACCCGGGGAAAAAGCAUCGGCCAACUCCGUGCCCGCAGCCGCGGUAAUACGGAGGAUGCGAGCGUUAUCCGGAUUCAUUGGGUUUAAGGGGUGCGGGGGCGGGCCUUUAAGCGGGGGGUGAAAUCGCGGGGCUAAACCCCGGCGAGCCGUUGAAACUGGGGGCCUUGAGUGCGGCGGAGGAAUGCGGAAUGCGCGGUGUAGCGGUGAAAUGCAUAGAUAUCGCGCAGAACCCCGAUUGCGAAGGCAGCGUGCCGUGCCGCGACUGACGCUGAGGCACGAAAGCGCGGGGAUCGAACAGGAUUAGAUACCCUUGUAGUC